UGGCCUUGACAUACUAAGAACUUUCCAGAGAUGGAUUGGUGCCUUCGGGAACUUAGAUACAGGUGCUGCAUGGCUGUCGUCAGCUCGUGUCGUGAGAUGUUGGGUUAAGUCCGCAACGAGCGCAACCCUUUUCCUUAUUUGCCAGCGGGUUAAGCCGGGAACUUUAAGGAUACUGCCAGUGACAAACUGGAGGAAGGCGGGGACGACGUCAAGUCAUCAUGGCCCUUACGGCCAGGGCUACACACGUGCUACAAUGGUCGGUACAAAGGGUUGCUACCUCGCGAGAGGAUGCUAAUCUCAAAAAGCCGAUCGUAGUCCGGAUCGCAGUCUGCAACUCGACUGCGUGAAGUCGGAAUCGCUAGUAAUCGCGGAUCAGAAUGCCGCGGUGAAUACGUUCCCGGGCCUUGUACACACCGCCCGUCACACCAUGGGAGUUUGUUGCACCAGAAGUAGGUAGUCUAACCGCAAGGAGGACGCUUAUCACGGUGUGGCCGAUGACUGGGGUGAAGUCGUAACAAGGUAAGCGUAGAUGA
rnacentral:rRNA from 1 species